CACAUACUCCCUCCGUUCGGAAUUACUUGUCUCGGAAAUGGAUGUAUCUAGAACUAAAAUAUGUCUAGAUACAUCCAUUUCUGCGACAAGUAAUUCCGAACGGAGGGAGUAGUAC
rnacentral:pre_miRNA from 1 species